UCUCUUGUGUCCAGCUCUGUGUCUGUGAAGAGUGACCGGUCAAAAGAUGGUAUGUCAAAUUUCAGUGAGAGAAAAACUCCACUCGCCAAAAGGCUUCAGUAUGAGACAUUCAAUUCAGAUAUCCAGACUCACAGGAACCACAAGACUUUCAAAGACAAUCUUCUAGGGAUUUUUCAGACCAAAAUAAUCACAUUCCUAAAGAAUGAGCUUGGGAUGUUUAAGAAAAUCUUAAAAAAGGAGAACUUGCAGUCUUUAGUGAAGGACUUUAAUGAGGACAGAUGCAUUAUCAAAGAAGCAGCUCUUGAUCUCACACUCCACUUCCUGAGAGAGAUGAAGCAAGAUGAAGCUGCUGAUACUC